GACGAACGCUGGCGGCGUGCUUAACACAUGCAAGUCGAGCGGUAAGGCUCCUUCGGGAGUACACGAGCGGCGAACGGGUGAGUAACACGUGAGUAAUCUGCCCUUCACUUUGGGAUAACCACCGGAAACGGUGGCUAAUACCGAAUACGACCAGUCUUCGCAUGAGGUGCUGGUGGAAAGUCUUUUCGGUGAAGGAUGUGCUCGCGGCCUAUCAGCUUGUUGGUGGGGUAAUGGCCUACCAAGGCUUCGACGGGUAGCCGGCCUGAGAGGGUGACCGGCCACACUGGGACUGAGACACGGCCCAGACUCCUACGGGAGGCAGCAGUGGGGAAUAUUGGACAAUGGGCGAAAGCCUGAUCCAGCAACGCCGCGUGAGGGAUGACGGCCUUCGGGUUGUAAACCUCGUUCAGUACCGACGAAGCGCCCUGUCGGGUGGUGACGGUAGGUACAGAAGAAGGACCGGCCAACUACGUG
rnacentral:rRNA from 1 species